CACGUAGGGUGCGAGCGUUGUCCGGAAUUACUGGGCGUAAAGGGCGCGUAGGCGGCAUGACAAGUCACUUGUGAAAUCUCCGGGCUUAACUCGGAACGGCCAAGUGAUACUGUUGAGCUAGAGUGCGGAAGGGGCAAUCGGAAUUCUUGGUGUAGCGGUGAAAUGCGUAGAUAUCAAGAGGAACACCUGAGGUGAAGACGGGUUGCUGGGCCGACACUGACGCUGAUGCGCGAAAGCCAGGGGAGCAAACGGG
rnacentral:rRNA from 1 species